rnacentral:rRNA from 1 species
UACGGGGGGGGCAAGCGUUGUUCGGAAUUACUGGGCGUAAAGGGCGCGUAGGCGGUCCGCUAAGUUGGAUGUGAAAACUCUGGGCUUAACCCAGAGCCUGCAUCCAAAACUGGCAAACUUGAGUACUGGAGGGGAAAGCGGAAUUCCUGGUGUAGCGGUGAAAUGCGUAGAUAUCAGGAGGAACACCGGUGGCGAAGGCGGCUUUCUGGUCUGCUCUUGACGCUGAGGCGCGAAAGCUAGGGUAGCAAACAGG